UAUUAUGAAAACCCUAUUGAAACUUGAGAUAUAUACAUAUUUUUGAAGAAUGAAAUGCCCCCGAGCUCUGAUCGACAAUGUACACUUAUAAUUUUUUAUUUGGUUGGAAGUAACCGUUGCUUUGUUGAGCGACCUCUACUAAAAAUGGCGUGUCGUAAUUAGCCUACGCAUUGACAUUGUUCACCGUUUGUUUGCGAGUUCCUUUGGAAUAAAUUGUCAAUCAAUCCUGACAAUAAUUUCUUCAAUUGAAGGAUCGUAGUUUAAAUCAGGUUGAACCAAACUACUUCAAGACUGCGAAAAAAUGUGAAGUCUUUGGUGUUUGCUGUGAUGGUACAGGAAAACAGGUGUUUUACUUGGCGAAUGAGGGUGAAUCACCCGGGAAAGGCGCCAACACUGUUGUUAGCUAUGUGCAUUACUAGCUUCACCACUAUGGCCUAGGGGAGGAAGAGGCAGUUUUCUACUUUGACAACUGCUGACCAAAAUAAGAACAACUGUGUACUUUGGUAUGCAUUGUGGAGAGUUA